rnacentral:lncRNA from 1 species
AACAUAACUUUUUCUAAACUGGAAAAAACAUUGACAGUAGUAAAUUUAUAGAACUUUUACGAGAAAAAUUAAGUAAAUAGACUAAUUCACUACGUACAAUAAUGCCAAAUGAUUUAAAUUGCCCCGCAAAGGUCUAUUUAUUGAUAUAGAAAAACAAUAUCGCUCUGUAGCUUGAAUUUCCAAGUUUUCGUUUUGUUUCUUCUAAAGUGUAUUCCCUAAUAACAAUUUUUUAAUAACUAACACCCCCCCCCCCCCUUAGAAAAUAGAAAAACACGCACAUAGUUUAGUACAUACGACAUGUACUUUCUCGGAUUCAUAUUAAUUAACUAUCUCAAAUUUGCUCAAAUAUUGAUGUAUCUAUAUUAAAAAACGUCAAAUAUCGGCGGCUCUGAUAAGUCGAUUGAGAUCUAAGCCUUCUACUUAAAAAAUCAGGCGCUUGGGAAAAUCAACACGCCCAUCUGAAUUUAUCACGUGUUAGCGAAUUGAUUCCUUCGUUAGUUAGCUGCGUGCAUCCGAGGGAGGAAAUUACACGUUCCUUGGUUUGUUUUUGGUAAUACAACGGGCGUGCGUCGGUGGGGUGGAGCUGCACCUGCAAUACGUGGCGAUUUCACUAUCUUUAACCUGCUUCGUGGCCGAUGCUGCACCUAUGCAUGUAUAAUCAUCACGACACCAACGGUUCCCUUUCAAGCAAGAAAAUUCACGCCACGCAAUGUUCACGGGCAGUACGUGCAUGCAUGCGCGCGCGGGAAGGCCUGCCCGACCCGUAACGGCAUGCAUACAUGCACGCUUCCAGACAGCUCUCGAAGGUGCUCGAAUCCACGACGCCGGCAAGCAGUUUGCUCGGUGUACGCAUCGAUCUUCUCGAUGCGGCGAGCUUAUGCCAUCCGCAGGGGUUGAACCUUAACCGAUUUUUGUUGAUGUGAAAAAGAAAAAAGAAAGAAAAAAAAGACUUUUCGUGAAUAGUCAGACUCACGCAUCCCUGAAUGGCCGUGUGACGGUGUUUGCACAAGGUUUUAGUGUUUUGAAGCAGGGAGAGUGGUUGGUGCUGCCAUUCUUCUUCCCCUGGCCACGGCCACGCAAAGGCGAUGACAACAUGAUUUGUGAUGGUGGAAGAAAGAUCCACGACCGAUGUGCCACAAAGUACGUGCUAGUCUCGUCGUGUGCAGUGGUCCGAUUCAUUGGCUCAACAGAUGGCCUAUGACGGUGCUCCUCUAGGCUUGGGUAUGUUGGUUGUCGUCCCCCCUCUCUCUCACUCACGGCGCUAGUUGGUGACAGCAAGUGUUAAGGUGUUAUUUUUUCUUUUUGUGACCCUUUGUGCAAUAUUUAAGAAACAUGUAUGUAUGGUUGUCUUGGUUUCGGUGAGCGCGUUGUAAUCAGUGGCAU